GACGAACGCUGGCGGCGUGCUUAACACAUGCAAGUCGAACGGAAAGGCCCUGGUUUUGUGGGAUGCUCGAGUGGCGAACGGGUGAGUAACACGUGAGUAACCUGCCCUUGACUUUGGGAUAACGUCAGGAAAGUGGGGGUAAUACCGGAUAGGAGCUCCUGCUGCAUGGUGGGGGUUGGAAAGAUUCGGCGGUUGGGGAUGGACUCGCGGCGUAUCAGCUUGUUGGUGGGGUAGUGGCUUACCAAGGCUUUGACGGGUAGCCGGCCUGGGAGGGGGACCGGCGACAUUGGGACUGAGCUACCGCCCGGACUCCUACGGGAGGCAGCAGUAGGGAACAUUGCACAGUGGGCGGCAGCCAGCUGCAACAACGCCGCGUGCGGGAUUAGUGCCUUCCGGUUGUAAACCGAUAUCGCCUGUCACGAGGCGGGAGUGACGGUAAUGGGUAAAGAAGCACCGGCUAACUACGUG
rnacentral:rRNA from 1 species